rnacentral:tRNA from 1 species
GCCUGGGUGGCUCAGUCGGAUGAGUGUCUGACUUCCGCUCAGGUCAAGAUCUUGCAGUCCGUGGGUUCGAGCCCCACGUCAGGCU